GACGAACGCUGGCGGCGUGCUUAACACAUGCAAGUCGAGCGGUAAGGCCCUUUCGGGGGUACACGAGCGGCGAACGGGUGAGUAACACGUGGGUGACCUGCCUUUAGCUCUGGGAUAAGCCUGGGAAACCGGGUACUAAUACCGGAUAUGACUCCGCGGCGCAUGUUGUGGGGUGGAAAGCCUUGUGCGGCUGGAGAUGGGCCCGCGGCCUAUCAGCUUGUUGGUGGGGUGAUGGCCUACCAAGGCGACGACGGGUAGCCGGCCUGAGAGGGCGACCGGCCACACUGGGACUGAGACACGGCCCAGACUCCUACGGGAGGCAGCAGUGGGGAAUCUUGCGCAAUGGGCGAAAGCCUGACGCAGCGACGCCGCGUGAGGGAUGACGG
rnacentral:rRNA from 1 species